AGAAAAGCAGACAGACAACGUGGAGGCUGUACCCAAGGAAGUAAGAAAAAGUUUUCUCUCCAGGAUUGUGCUUGGAAUAUGCUACAAAAAUGUCAGAGAUAAAGAAGAAAACCACUAGAGUUUCUCUGACCAUCAGUUCCCCAGUUAACGAAACCUCCAACAUCAGAUCAAGUUAUUCUACCUUAGUUCAACCAUUGUGUAUUGA